GAAGUUCCUAAGAGAGCAGCCCUCAC
rnacentral:piRNA from 1 species